GUGAAUCAUCGAAUUUUUGAACGCAAAUUGCACUCUCUUCGGAGAGUAUGCCUGUUUGAGGGUCAGCCUAAAAAAAAUCGACAUCGUUGCUGUUGCGCGGUGACGUUCGUCGGAAAUUGGGUUAUCUUAAACCUUUUGGAUUUUUGGGCUUAAAAUUUUACUUUUAGUUUCGUUUAUUGUUCUU
rnacentral:misc_RNA from 1 species